rnacentral:rRNA from 1 species
CCUACGGGAGGCAGCAGUGGGGAAUAUUGCACAAUGGGCGCAAGCCUGAUGCAGCCAUGCCGCGUGUGUGAAGAAGGCCUUCGGGUUGUAAAGCACUUUCAGCGGGGAGGAAGGCGGUGAGGUUAAUAACCUCAUCGAUUGACGUUACCCGCAGAAGAAGCACCGGCUAACUCCGUGCCAGCAGCCGCGGUAAUACGGAGGGUGCAAGCGUUAAUCGGAAUUACUGGGCGUAAAGCGCACGCAGGCGGCCUGUCAAGUCGGAUGUGAAAUCCCCGGGCUCAACCUGGGAACUGCAUUCGAAACUGGCAGGCUAGAGUCUUGUAGAGGGGGGUAGAAUUCCAGGUGUAGCGGUGAAAUGCGUAGAGAUCUGGAGGAAUACCGGUGGCGAAGGCGGCCCCCUGGACAAAGACUGACGCUCAGGUGCGAAAGCGUGGGGAGCAAACAGGAUUAGAUACCCGGGUAGUC